CUACAGGCUACCAUCUGUGAUACUAAACUCAAAUGUAUUUGGACCCUUAUGUUAGUUUAUGGGGCAGCACAUGAUGAAAAGAGGGAUGAAUUCCUUGAUGAACUAACCUCAUGUUGUGGCAACAUUAAAACUCCUUAUGUGAUUGGUGGUGACUUGAAUAUCCUAUGGGAUAGUAGUGACAAAAACAAGCCCCUCCAUAGAUCGCAUCACAUGGAUAGAUUUAACAAUAUCAUCCAUUCACUAAACCUUAGAGAAAUUCAUAUGGGAGGAGGCAGGUUCACUUGGACCAAUAAACAGAGACAUCCAACGCUCGAAAAGCUCGAUAGAGUACUCAUGAGCCCUGAUUGGGAAGAUCUUUUCCCUCUUGUUGCUGUUCGUAAAUUAGUAAGAGAUGUCUCAGACCACAACCCUUUGUUAUUGACAACAAACCCCGUGAAAAAUAGUCCCAUGCACCAGUGUGAGUUCAGAUUUGAACUUAGCUGGUUGAAGAAUGAAGAAUUCUAUGCUAAAGCUAAGAUGAUCUGGGAGCAGCCUGUGCAAUCUGAGGAUCCUAUAGACAUCCUAAACAUAAAGCUUAAACGUAUAAAAAAGUACUUUAAAGGAUAGGGUUCACACCUUUUCAGCCAUGCCAAAAUGAGGAAAAAGUGGAUUAAAAAGGAGCUGGAAGAAAUAGAAAAAAUGGAGGAGGCUGGUCCCCUGGAUCCUGAGACUUAUGAGAAAAGGACCACCUUGAGUGCUGAGCUUAAUGAUAUCCUGGCUGAUGAAGAGCUUUUUUGGCUUUAGCACUCGAAUGAACGAUGGUUACUUAAAGGGGAUCAUAACACAGCCUAUUUCCAUUGUAUAGCCAAUGGUAAGAAGAGAAAAAACACCAUUCACUCCCUUGCUGAUGGGGAAAUGGUUAUAGAGGGCACUAAGGAUCUCCUGGAGCAUGCUACUUCCUAUUAUAAGGGGCUCUUUGGCCCGGCCAGUGGAAACCUUUUUCACCUCUCUCCUGAAACCUGGUCUAAUGAUGAGAUGCUUACAGAAGAUGACAACCUUAUCCUGACUAGUGUUUUCACCGAAGAGAAUUUUAAAAAAGCCUUAUUUAGCAUGGAUAGUAAUAGGGCUCCUGGGCCUAAUAAUAUCCCAGCUGAGUUUUAUAAACACUGCUAG
rnacentral:rRNA from 1 species